GUCUACAGCCAUACCACUCUGAACGUGCCCGAUCUUGUCUGAUCUCGGAAGCUACGCAGGGUCGGGCCUGGUUAGUACUUGGGAGAUCCUAACUUAUAAGCUACAUAGUUACCUGAAUAACUAGUUCUUUACUUU
rnacentral:rRNA from 1 species